rnacentral:rRNA from 1 species
CCUACGGGAGGCAGCAGUGAGGAAUAUUGGUCAAUGGGCUUACGCCUGAACCAGCCAAGUCGCGUGAGGGAAGACUGCCCUAUGGGUUGUAAACCUCUUUUGUCAGGGAGCAACGCCGGCUACGUGUAGCCGGACUGAGAGUACCUGAAGAAAAAGCAUCGGCUAACUCCGUGCCAGCAGCCGCGGUAAUCCGGAGGAUGCGAGCGUUAUCCGGAUUUAUUGGGUUUAAAGGGUGAGUAGGCGGAAUGCCAAGUCAGCGGUAAAAUCGCGGGGCUCAACCUCGCUCCGCCGUUGAAACUGGCGGUCUUGAGUGGGCGAGAAGUAUGCGGAAUGCGUGGUGUAGCGGUGAAAUGCAUAGAUAUCACGCAGAACUCCGAUUGCGAAGGCAGCAUACCGGCGCCCAACUGACGCUGAAGCACGAAAGCGUGGGUAUCGAACAGGAUUAGAUACCCGUGUAGUC